CUGUGUGUUUUUUUUUCUUAUCGGUGAGUUAGCAUAGCUGGUUAGCAUUAGCUUAAGCCUUGCCGGUGAUUUUCCAUCGCAGGAAGCUCAUCCAGCUGGAAAAUAUAAGGAAAAGCUGCGAGUUUCAAACCUCUUCCGGGUCGACAUCAUCUUUUAUAGUAACAGGGAGUGAUGAUGAUAAAGUGGAAGCUCUCAGAUGGGGAGUGGUGAUUCUCAGCCUGUUUCCCAAUAUCCCAUCAGCUGCAUUAGGAAAUGCCAGCACUCUGAUCUUUCUACAGGUGACACAGAGUUUAAUAAACUCAUUUCUGUCCUGGGUUGACUGACCAUUAGUCAUCAUCAUUACACAUUGGGGUAAAGGGAUUGGUUUCUUAAGUAUGCAACCAGUUUAUCCACAUAUUUAUCCAAUAUUGGAUAAAAAAGGAAGAAAAUUGACUGGAAACGUUUAAUUUAUUCAUUUCAAACAGUUAAAAAAACAAAACGAAGAAAACAAGUAACCAGUAGGAUAAGUGAGAACAGCUAAAAUAGUUAGCUUACCAUUACUUUGUUUGAAAAUAAAUAGGAAGAAGUUAACAUUUAUUAUGAUUUGGCUUCCAGAUUAUUUCUUAUGAUCCAAAAGAUUGAAAUCUUGUAUUUUAGUGAAAAGUUAGCAUUUCAACUUUAAAGUUUGGGAACUUUUGUUUAAUAAAUUAAUUUGAAACAAGUAUGCACAAACAAGAACAAAAUGAUUAGCUUACCACUCCUUUUUGUUUGAAACAGAGUAAGAAGUGGAGACUUUUAUUAUGUUUUAGCUUCCAGAUUAUUUCCUAUGAUUCAAAAGAUUAAAGUCUUGGGUUUUUAUGGAAACUUAUGUAAAAGUUGUCUUUUAACUUUAAAGUUGGACAACCUUAGUUCAUUACACUAUUUUUGGUGUUUAAGUAACUGACAAAAAACUCAAAUGCACAGUAAAACAUACAAUAUUUUUGUUUUUUCCUGCAUCAAGUUUCAACAUUACAGGGGUACCGUAUGGAGAAAAUGGUUGCCAACAUGUGCUGGGUUAAAUUUGCUCUACAAAACUGAAGUAUUAAGAUAGUAUAGUUGCUUCUUUUUAUCAAGACUGCUUGCAGCAUUGAAGUAGACGAGCUGUAUUUUUUUUAG